CAUUUAUUUUUUGAAAAUUCCAUUCGUUUAGUUCAAUUUUCAACGAUUCGUUCCAGCAUUUUGGCUGGUGGCUGGCGAAUGACACACGAAAAAGUUUGGCGGUGUGAUAGCGCAUAAUCGUGGUGGCCAAUCGAACAGCCCAAAACGUGGAACUAUCUACCCAACGUAGUGUUCUCUCAAAAAAUCCGUUGAUUGAUGGCAUGUGUGGGAAGUGGCGCCGUCUUGCUGAAACCAAAUGUCGCCGAAACCACGAGCUUCAAUUUCAAGCAUCAAAUAGUUGGUUAUCAUGGUGCAACAAACAAACAAAGGUCUCCAUUGACGGUUGCGUUCACACCGGCAUUGUUUUUGAAGAAAUAUGGACUGAUGAUUCCACCGGCCCAAUACCUACACCAAAUCGUUUUUUUUUCUGGCCUCAUCGCUAACAAAAAAAUUUGGCUCGAAAUCGUCGGAUCUCCUUGAAACUUUUCAAGAGCCCAUAGCGGUGCCGCUUGAGAAGGUCGAGCAGCUUCAGUUCUUGCACAAGCUGUAUUUUGUAUGCUUUCAAUUUUAAUAUCUCGACUUAAAUACGCCAAACAGAAUCCAGAAUAAUCAACAUAUAGUGACGUGAUCUUUUCGGUCGCGUCAAAUUUCGUUGUUCA